rnacentral:pre_miRNA from 14 species
UAACUGGAGUCUCAGGAUGGCGUGCCCCAGGAAACACCGAUCCCGGACGAGCCCCCAAAUGAAAGAUCCCCGAAGAGAGACCCUUACUGAAGUCUCGGGGAAAUCGCAGACCCCAGACACAGAGAGACCA